rnacentral:rRNA from 1 species
AACGAACGCUGGCGGCAUGCCUAACACAUGCAAGUCGAACGAGACCUUCGGGUCUAGUGGCGCACGGGUGCGUAACGCGUGGGAACCUGCCCUUAGGUUCGGAAUAACUCCCCGAAAGGGGUGCUAAUACCGGAUAAUGCCUUCGGACCAAAGAUUUAUCGCCUUUGGAUGGGCCCGCGUUGGAUUAGCUAGUUGGUAGGGUAAAAGCCUACCAAGGCGACGAUCCAUAGCUGGUCUGAGAGGGUGAUCAGCCACACUGGGACUGAGACACGGCCCAGACUCCUACGGGAGGCAGCAGUGGGGAAUAUUGGACAAUGGGCGAAAGCCUGAUCCAGCAAUGCCGCGUGAGUGAUGAAGGCCUUAGGGUUGUAAAGCUCUUUUACCCGGGAUGAUAAUGACAGUACCGGGAGAAUAAGCUCCGGCUAACUCCGUG